AUACGUAGGUGGCAAGCGUUGUCCGGAUUUACUGGGUGUAAAGGGCGUGUAGGCGGGACUGCAAGUCAGAUGUGAAAUACAGGGGCUCAACCCCUGAACUGCAUUUGAAACUGUGGUUCUUGAGUGAUGGAGAGGCAGGCGGAAUUCCCAGUGUAGCGGUGAAAUGCGUAGAUAUUGGGAGGAACACCAGUGGCGAAGGCGGCCUGCUGGACAUUAACUGACGCUGAGGCGCGAAAGCGUGGGGAGC
rnacentral:rRNA from 1 species